UACGUAGGGUGCAAGCGUUGUCCGGAAUUAUUGGGCGUAAAGAGCUCGUAGGCGGUCUGUCGCGUCGGCUGUGAAAACUCGGGGCUCAACUCCGAGCUUGCAGUCGAUACGGGCAGGCUAGAGUUCGGCAGGGGAGACUGGAAUUCCUGGUGUAGCGGUGAAAUGCGUAGAGAUGUGGAGGAAUACCGAUGGCGAAGGCAGCCCCCUGGGCCAAUACUGACGCUCAUGCACGAAAGCGUGGGGAGCAAACAGG
rnacentral:rRNA from 1 species